AUUGAACGCUGGCGGCAUGCUUUACACAUGCAAGUCGGACGGCAGCACAGAGAAGUUUGCUUCUUGGGUGGCGAGUGGCGCACGGGUGAGUAAUAUAUCGGAACGUACUGAGUAAUGGGGGAUAACUAAUCGAAAGAUUAGCUAAUACCGCAUAUUCUCUGAGGCGGAAAGCAGGGGACCUUCGGGCCUUGCGUUAUUCGAGCGGCCGAUAUCUGAUUAGCUAGUUGGUGGGGUAAAGGCCUACCAAGGCGACGAUCAGUAGCGGGUCUGAGAGGAUGAUCCGCCACACUGGGACUGAGACACGGCCCAGACUCCUACGGGAGGCAGCAGUGGGGAAUUUUGGACAAUGGGCGCAAGCCUGAUCCAGCCAUGCCGCGUGUCUGAAGAAGGCCUUCGGGUUUUAAAGGACUUUUGUCAGGGAAGAAAAGGCUGUUGCUAAUAUCGACAGCUGAUGACGGUACCUAAAGAAUAAGCACCGGCUAACUACGUG
rnacentral:rRNA from 1 species